rnacentral:lncRNA from 1 species
AAACCAUUUCCUCCAUCGCUAACCAGUAGAAACCUACCAGCCCCCUUCCCCAUUGUAACAGUCCGACGACCUUCCUGAACUUCCAAUACAACCUUGAGAUUGCGGGCAGAUUCAAGUAUUUUGGCUUCAAAGUUUCCGGGCAAAUUUGUUUUUAUUCGAGUUCGUAGUUGUUUCGACCUGGUUAGUUGGUGUAAAUUCCAUUUCUG